AGUUUUCAACAAGUUUGGAUAGCACAACCACAGACGUGGAUAUAAACACGGAUGAUUUUACUACAACAGGUGAAAUAAGUUCAUCAGACGAUUCCGAAGGUGGGGAGUUUUCCACUACUCUCAAUACAGUAAAUUCUUUAAGCACAGACAUUACAAUUAUCAAAAAGAAGUCACCCGAUUGUCGAUUUCCGGGAGUAUUGUACAGAGGAACCAAAAAUAUAACGAAAACAGGACGGGUGUGCCAAAGAUGGACUGAGCAGAGUCCACAUGAACACAAUUAUGACGUCUUCAGUCUUGCUCAAGAAAACUACUGUCGGAACUUUGAUCGAGAGGAGCCGUGGUGCUUCACUAAUGACCCCGAUGUACGCUGGGAACUCUGUGACGUAGAUGUUUGUGCGACUCCUUGUCUGAAUCAGUCUUUUUAUAGGAAUGACGUCAUUAAACAGUGUUAUUCAGGCAAUACUCAGGAGGCAACUGCAGACUGCGCGU